UACAGAGGGGGCAAGCGUUAUUCGGAAUUAUUGGGCGUAAAGGGCGCGUAGGCGGCCAUUCAAGUGACGGGUGAAAGCCCUCGGCUUAACCGAGGAACUGCCUGUCAGACUGGAUGGCUUGAGACCGGGAGAGGUGAGUGGAAUUCCCAGUGUAGCGGUGAAAUGCGUAGAUAUCGAGAGGAACACCUGCGGCGAAGGCGGGUUGCUGGGCUGACACUGACGCUGAUGUGCGAAAGCUAGGGGAGCGAACGGG
rnacentral:rRNA from 1 species